GGGUUGUGAGGUUAAGCGACUAAGCGUACACGGUGGAUGCCCUGGCAGUCAGAGGCGAUGAAGGACGUGCUAAUCUGCGAUAAGCGCCGGUAAGGUGAUAUGAACCGUUAUAACCGGCGAUUUCCGAAUGGGGAAACCCAGUGUGACUCGUCACACUAUCAUUAACUGAAUCCAUAGGUUAAUGAGGCGAACCGGGGGAACUGAAACAUCUAAGUACCCCGAGGAAAAGAAAUCAACCGAGAUUCCCCCAGUAGCGGCGAGCGAACGGGGAGGAGCCCAGAGCCUGAAUCAGCAUGUGUGUUAGUGGAAGCGUCUGGAAAGGCGCGCGAUACAGGGUGACAGCCCCGUACACAAAAGCGCACAUGCUGUGAGCUCGAUGAGUAGGGCGGGACACGUGGUAUCCUGUCUGAAUAUGGGGGGACCAUCCUCCAAGGCUAAAUACUCCUGACUGACCGAUAGUGAACCAGUACCGUGAGGGAAAGGCGAAAAGAACCCCGGCGAGGGGAGUGAAAAAGAACCUGAAACCGUGUACGUACAAGCAGUGGGAGCACAGGUUUACCUGUGUGACUGCGUACCUUUUGUAUAAUGGGUCAGCGACUUAUAUUCUGUAGCAAGGUUAACCGAAUAGGGGAGCCGGAGGGAAACCGAGUCUUAAUUGGGCGUUAAGUUGCAGGGUAUAGACCCGAAACCCGGUGAUCUAGCCAUGGGCAGGUUGAAGGUUGGGUAACACUAACUGGAGGACCGAACCGACUAAUGUUGAAAAAUUAGCGGAUGACCUGUGGCUGGGGGUGAAAGGCCAAUCAAACCGGGAGAUAGCUGGUUCUCCCCGAAAGCUAUUUAGGUAGCGCCUCGUGAAUUCAUCUCCGGGGGUAGAGCACUGUUUCGGCUAGGGGGCCAUCCCGGCUUACCAACCCGAUGCAAACUGCGAAUACCGGAGAAUGUUAUCACGGGAGACACACGGCGGGUGCUAACGUCCGUCGUGAAGAGGGAAACAACCCAGACCGCCAGCUAAGGUCCCAAAGUCAUGGUUAAGUGGGAAACGAUGUGGGAAGGCCCAGACAGCCAGGAUGUUGGCUUAGAAGCAGCCAUCAUUUAAAGAAAGCGUAAUAGCUCACUGGUCGAGUCGGCCUGCGCGGAAGAUGUAACGGGGCUAAACCAUGCACCGAAGCUGCGGCAGCGACGCUGAUGCGUUGUUGGGUAGGGGAGCGUUCUGUAAGCCUGCGAAGGUGGCCUGUGAGGGUUGCUGGAGGUAUCAGAAGUGCGAAUGCUGACAUAAGUAACGAUAAAGCGGGUGAAAAGCCCGCUCGCCGGAAGACCAAGGGUUCCUGUCCAACGUUAAUCGGGGCAGGGUGAGUCGACCCCUAAGGCGAGGCCGAAAGGCGUAGUCGAUGGGAAACGGGUUAAUAUUCCCGUACUUGGUGUUACUGCGAAGGGGGGACGGAGAAGGCUAUGUUGGCCGGGCGACGGUUGUCCCGGUUUAAGCGUGUAGGUGUGUGUUCCAGGUAAAUCCGGUUCACUUUAACACUGAGGCGUGACGACGAGGCACUACGGUGCUGAAGCAACAAAUGCCCUGCUUCCAGGAAAAGCCUCUAAGCAUCAGGUAACAUCAAAUCGUACCCCAAACCGACACAGGUGGUCAGGUAGAGAAUACCAAGGCGCUUGAGAGAACUCGGGUGAAGGAACUAGGCAAAAUGGUGCCGUAACUUCGGGAGAAGGCACGCUGACACGUAGGUGAAGUGAUUUACUCAUGGAGCUGAAGUCAGUCGAAGAUACCAGCUGGCUGCAACUGUUUAUUAAAAACACAGCACUGUGCAAACACGAAAGUGGACGUAUACGGUGUGACGCCUGCCCGGUGCCGGAAGGUUAAUUGAUGGGGUCAGCGCAAGCGAAGCUCCUGAUCGAAGCCCCGGUAAACGGCGGCCGUAACUAUAACGGUCCUAAGGUAGCGAAAUUCCUUGUCGGGUAAGUUCCGACCUGCACGAAUGGCGUAAUGAUGGCCAGGCUGUCUCCACCCGAGACUCAGUGAAAUUGAACUCGCUGUGAAGAUGCAGUGUACCCGCGGCAAGACGGAAAGACCCCGUGAACCUUUACUAUAGCUUGACACUGAACAUUGAGCCUUGAUGUGUAGGAUAGGUGGGAGGCUUUGAAGUGUGGACGCCAGUCUGCAUGGAGCCGGCCUUGAAAUACCACCCUUUAAUGUUUGAUGUUCUAACGUGGACCCGUGAUCCGGGUUGCGGACAGUGUCUGGUGGGUAGUUUGACUGGGGCGGUCUCCUCCUAAAGAGUAACGGAGGAGCACGAAGGUUGGCUAAUCCUGGUCGGACAUCAGGAGGUUAGUGCAAUGGCAUAAGCCAGCUUGACUGCGAGCGUGACGGCGCGAGCAGGUGCGAAAGCAGGUCAUAGUGAUCCGGUGGUUCUGAAUGGAAGGGCCAUCGCUCAACGGAUAAAAGGUACUCCGGGGAUAACAGGCUGAUACCGCCCAAGAGUUCAUAUCGACGGCGGUGUUUGGCACCUCGAUGUCGGCUCAUCACAUCCUGGGGCUGAAGUAGGUCCCAAGGGUAUGGCUGUUCGCCAUUUAAAGUGGUACGCGAGCUGGGUUUAGAACGUCGUGAGACAGUUCGGUCCCUAUCUGCCGUGGGCGCUGGAGAACUGAGGGGGGCUGCUCCUAGUACGAGAGGACCGGAGUGGACGCAUCACUGGUGUUCGGGUUGUCAUGCCAAUGGCACUGCCCGGUAGCUAAAUGCGGAAGAGAUAAGUGCUGAAAGCAUCUAAGCACGAAACUUGCCCCGAGAUGAGUUCUCCCUGAGACUUAAAGUCUCCUGAAGGAACGUUGAAGACGACGACGUUGAUAGGCCGGGUGUGUAAGCGCAGCGAUGCGUUGAGCUAACCGGUACUAAUGAACCGUGAGGCUUAACCUUACAACGCCGAAG
rnacentral:rRNA from 1 species